rnacentral:lncRNA from 1 species
CAAGUAUUUGUUGAGUGGGUUUUCAAGGACCUCUCGGUCCAUGGGAAAGAAAGGCAUAAUCGAGCCAGCACAACAGGGUGCCCAUGGGAGAGACAAUUUGGGUGAAAUGUAGAAGAUGGGGAAUUUUGGCUGAGAAGCACACACCUGAGAGGAGUGGUGUCUUGGAAGAUUCAGAAGUGGGAAGGGUGUAGUGUGGUAUGGGACUCGGAGGGCUGGCUGGACUCUAGGGUGUGUCACUGUAUGUAUGAGUUUGUGGGGUGGGGUCAGCAGGCCAAACCAGCAGGCAGGGAGGUGCUGGAUUAUGUAAAGCCUGAAUCUGGACCAUCCUGUGAGAACUGGAGGAGGCCAACUGAAGCAUGAAGUUGGUGUCCAUGAUUCUUGGACAAUAAGAGAGGAAAAAUGUGAUGGAGAUCGAAUCUGUUUUGUGGGCUCAGCAAAUGCAGAACUUGUCGACAUCGGCUCCCAUUCAUACUGGCCAUAUAGGCAGUGGUAUUAUCCUCAGUGGGGUUAAUUAAGCCUUUCCUCAAGACUACACGUAUGUAUAGCUGUUAUCGUUCAAAGACCAAAGUGGUGUAUAAUAUUUCUUUGCCUCC